rnacentral:rRNA from 1 species
UCCGUAGGUGAACCUGCGGAAGGAUCAUUACAUUUGCCCCUUGUGGGCGUGAGGUUGUAGCCAGCUACAGCCUCUCUUACACCCCUUAUUUGCGUACCCGCGUUUCCUCGGCGGCUCACCCCGCCGCUUGGACAAACCAUAACCCUCUGUAUUUGCAUUCAGCGUCUGAAAUCAUAAUAAUUACAACUUUUAACAACGGAUCUCUUGGUUCUGGCAUCGAUGAAGAACGCAGCGAAAUGCGAUAAGUAGUGUGAAUUGCAGAAUUCAGUGAAUCAUCGAAUCUUUGAACGCACAUUGCGCCCCUUGGUAUUCCGAGGGGCAUGCCUGUUCGAGCGUCAUUUGUACCUCAAGCUCUGCUUGGUGUUGGGUGUUUGUCCAGCCUCUGUGGCUAGACUCGCCUUGAAUACAUUGGCAGCUAGAGCGUCGGCUUUGGAGCGCAGCACAAUUUGCGUCCCUGGCUGAGGCUAUAGCACCCAUGAAGCUACCAUUUACUUUUGACCUCGGAUCAGGUAGGGAUACCCGCUGAACUUAA